rnacentral:hammerhead_ribozyme from 1 species
AUCCAGCUGAUGAGUUCCAAAUAGGACGAAACGCGCGUCCAGGGU